AUGAAGGAGCUAGGUCUUCGAGAGGAGGACCUUGACGAUGUGGUGUUCGAUGAAGAUGAGGCGUUGCCGGCGGCGGCACGCUGGAUCGCGCUGGUCCGGGUGCACACACCCAAAUCAUACAGCGAAUUUUGGUUUUUUAAGAAUAUGAGGGCGGCGUGGGAUCAAGCUCAGGAGGUCCAGUUCAAACCGCUUGAAGACAAUCUGUACACAGCCCAGUUCUCAUGUUUGGGUGAUUGGGAGAGAGUAACACGCAAUGGUCCAUGGAACUUUAUGACGGAUUGGCAAAACCGUCAACAGUUCAACUUGAUACUAUCGAGAUCUGGCUGCAGAUUCAUGAUGUCCCGCCAUUGUAUGCUCAUCUGGUGCCAUCUCUAG
rnacentral:rRNA from 1 species